AUGAACGCUAGCUACAGGCUUAACACAUGCAAGUCGAGGGGCAGCAUUUCAGUUUGCUUGCAAACUGGAGAUGGCGACCGGCGCACGGGUGAGUAACACGUAUCCAACCUGCCGAUAACUCGGGGAUAGCCUUUCGAAAGAAAGAUUAAUACCCGAUGGCAUAAUCAGACCGCAUGGUCUUAUUAUUAAAGAAUUUCGGUUAUCGAUGGGGAUGCGUUCCAUUAGGCAGUUGGUGAGGUAACGGCUCACCAAACCUUCGAUGGAUAGGGGUUCUGAGAGGAAGGUCCCCCACAUUGGAACUGAGACACGGUCCAAACUCCUACGGGAGGCAGCAGUGAGGAAUAUUGGUCAAUGGACGAGAGUCUGAACCAGCCAAGUAGCGUGAAGGAUGACUGCCCUAUGGGUUGUAAACUUCUUUUAUAUGGGAAUAAAGUUUUCCACGUGUGGAAUUUUGUAUGUACCAUAUGAAUAAGGAUCGGCUAACUCCGUGCCAGCAGCCGCGGUAAUACGGAGGAUCCGAGCGUUAUCCGGAUUUAUUGGGUUUAAAGGGAGCGUAGGUGGACAGUUAAGUCAGUUGUGAAAGUUUGCGGCUCAACCGUAAAAUUGCAGUUGAUACUGGCUGUCUUGAGUACAGUAGAGGUGGGCGGAAUUCGUGGUGUAGCGGUGAAAUGCUUAGAUAUCACGAAGAACUCCGAUUGCGAAGGCAGCUCACUGGACUGCAACUGACACUGAUGCUCGAAAGUGUGGGUAUCAAACAGGAUUAGAUACCCUGGUAGUCCACACAGUAAACGAUGAAUACUCGCUGUUUGCGAUAUACAGUAAGCGGCCAAGCGAAAGCAUUAAGUAUUCCACCUGGGGAGUACGCCGGCAACGGUGAAACUCAAAGGAAUUGACGGGGGCCCGCACAAGCGGAGGAACAUGUGGUUUAAUUCGAUGAUACGCGAGGAACCUUACCCGGGCUUAAAUUGCAGAUGAAUUACGGUGAAAGCCGUAAGCCGCAAGGCAUCUGUGAAGGUGCUGCAUGGUUGUCGUCAGCUCGUGCCGUGAGGUGUCGGCUUAAGUGCCAUAACGAGCGCAACCCUUAUCUUUAGUUACUAACAGGUCAUGCUGAGGACUCUAGAGAGACUGCCGUCGUAAGAUGUGAGGAAGGUGGGGAUGACGUCAAAUCAGCACGGCCCUUACGUCCGGGGCUACACACGUGUUACAAUGGGGGGUACAGAAGGCAGCUACCUGGUGACAGGAUGCUAAUCCCAAAAGCCUCUCUCAGUUCGGAUCGAAGUCUGCAACCCGACUUCGUGAAGCUGGAUUCGCUAGUAAUCGCGCAUCAGCCAUGGCGCGGUGAAUACGUUCCCGGGCCUUGUACACACCGCCCGUCAAGCCAUGAAAGCCGGGGGUACCUGAAGUACGUAACCGCAAGGAGCGUCCUAGGGUAAAACUGGUAAUUGGGGCU
rnacentral:rRNA from 1 species